CUCCUCUAUGAUCUUUCUUUAGUUUGUGCACUUUUUGUGGGUUUGAGAGCAAAUAUUGCACUGCAGAAAAGAACACUGAAAUCUCCACAAGGUAGCAUGUAUGAGUGGAUUAAUAAUGAGUCAGCUUGCUUCAACCCAAAGGCUGCAAAAACUGCAAAGUAUAAGCAGAAUGACAUGUUUAGUGGUCCUUCUUAGCUAUGGCUUUGGCUUUCUCUUCGUCUUCCUAACGAUGAGUGUCGCAUCCUCAUCUUAAUCUCGGUGCUAUCCUACCUGAGCUUUUUCUCACCGCUUUUUUUUUUCUGUUGUGUAUUCUCUUUUUUGACUUGUUGCCUUUCGUUCCUCUACCUACCCCAUUCUUCUUGACCUUGUAAGACCUUUUCUUGACCUUGUAAGACCCCGUGUUAUCUCUUACGUCUUUAUGUUUUGUUUUUUUGCAAAUCUUACGUCAUGACUUCUUCAUGUAAGCUUUGUUUGGUCUCCUUCUUCUUUCCUACUCAACUCUCGUUCUCCUUCCUUGUCUAUCCCUCCUGAGCUGUUGAUUUUAUUCCAUGU
rnacentral:lncRNA from 1 species